ensembl:snRNA U6 U6 spliceosomal RNA
AUGCUCGCUUCAGCACCACAUACUAAAAUUGGGAUGAUACAGAGAAGAUUAGCACGGUCCCUGCGCCAGGAUGAUACACAAAUUCAUGAAGCGUUCCAUAUUAAA